rnacentral:misc_RNA from 1 species
CCUUGUACACACCGCCCGUCACACCAUGAGAGUUUGUAACACCCAAAGUCGGUGGGGUAACCUUUUAGGAGCCAGCCGCCUAAGGUGGGACAGAUGAUUAGGGUGAAGUCGUAACAAGGUAGCCGUAGGAGAACCUGCGGCUGGAUCACCUCCUUUCUAAGGAAUUAAUCGGAAACCUACACAUUGUCGAAACUUUGUUUAGUUUUGAGAA